rnacentral:rRNA from 1 species
GAUGAACGCUAGCUACAGGCUUAACACAUGCAAGUCGCGGGGCAGCAUGGGGGUUGCUUGCAAUCCCCGAUGGCGACCGGCGCACGGGUGAGUAACGCGUAUCCAACCUGCCCUUCACCACGGGAUAACCCGGCGAAAGUCGGACUAAUACCGUAUGUUGUCCAUUGACGGCAUCCGAUUUGGACGAAAGGUUUGGCGGUGAAGGAUGGGGAUUGUUCCGAUUAGCUGGAGGGCGGGGUGAGGGCCCACCGUGGCGACGAUCGGUAGGGGUUAUGAGAGGAAGGUCCCCCACACUGGAACUGAGACACGGUCCAGACUCCUACGGGAGGCAGCAGUGAGGAAUAUUGGUCAAUGGGCGUAAGCCUGAACCAGCCAAGUAGCGUGCAGGAUGACGGCCCUAUGGGUUGUAAACUGCUUUUAUGCGGGGAUAAAGUGGCCCACGUGUGGGUUUUUGCAGGUACCGCAUGAAUAAGGACCGGCUAAUUCCGUG